rnacentral:rRNA from 1 species
CCUACGGGUGGCAGCAGUGGGGAAUAUUGCACAAUGGGCGAAAGCCUGAUGCAGCAACGCCGCGUGAAGGAAGACGGUUUUCGGACUGUAAACUUCUAUCAAUAGGGAAGAAAGAAAUGACGGUACCUAAAUAAGAAGCCCCGGCUAACUACGUGCCAGCAGCCGCGGUAAUACGUAGGGGGCAAGCGUUAUCCGGAAUUACUGGGUGUAAAGGGAGAGUAGGCGGCAAGGUAAGCGAUAUGUGAAAGCCUUAGGCUUAACCAAAGGAUUGCAUAACGAACUAUCUAGCUAGAGUACAGGAGAGGAAAGCGGAAUUCGUCGUGUAGCGGUGAAAUGCUUAGAUAUGACGAAGAACCCCGAUUGCGAAGGCAGCUUGCUGCAGCGGAACUGACGCUGAUGCUCGAAAGCGCGGGUAUCGAACAGGAUUAGAUACCCCAGUAGUC